CAUGGUAUGUUUUUAAAAUUGACCGAACUUCAUUGAAUGAUUGAGGACCCUGAGAAUAGUUCUCAUAUAGGGGUUAGUCUCAUAUUCUCCUAAUUUUGAUUUGUUCGGAUAUGAUACUAUAAAGAAAAAAAACCACAUAUGAGAUAUGGUGGAUGAUAGUAUGACUGUCAAAUGUAUCCUAAUUAACUUAAUCAAGCGAUUAAGUCAAU
rnacentral:lncRNA from 1 species